AUCUAGAUUCGGAUCCGCGGCCGCAGAGUUUGAUCCUGGCUCAGAUUGAACGCUAGCGGGAUGCUUUACUCAUGCAAGUCGAACGGCAGCACGAGAGAGCUUGCUCUCUUGGUGGCGAGUGGCGGACGGGUGAGUAAUAUAUCGGAACGUGCCCAGUAGCGGGGGAUAACUACUCGAAAGAGUGGCUAAUACCGCAUACGCCCUACGGGGGAAAGGGGGGGAUUCUUCGGAACCUCUCACUAUUGGAGCGGCCGAUAUCGGAUUAGCUAGUUGGUGGGGUAAAGGCUCACCAAGGCAACGAUCCGUAGCUGGUUUGAGAGGACGACCAGCCACACUGGGACUGAGACACGGCCCAGACUCCUACGGGAGGCAGCAGUGGGGAAUUUUGGACAAUGGGGGAAACCCUGAUCCAGCCAUCCCGCGUGUAUGAUGAAGGCCUUCGGGUUGUAAAGUACUUUUGGCAGAGAAGAAAAGGUAUCUCCUAAUACGAGAUACUGCUGACGGUAUCUGCAGAAUAAGCACCGGCUAACUACGUGCCAGCAGCCGCGGUAAUACGUAGGGUGCAAGCGUUAAUCGGAAUUACUGGGCGUAAAGCGUGUGUAGGCGGUUCC
rnacentral:rRNA from 1 species